rnacentral:ncRNA from 1 species
AUGAAGACUGCAGGAGAGUGGUUUUUAACUAAACUUUAACAUUUAGUUAGAUUGACCCGCCGAAGAAGUAAAUCUUUCAGGUGCUUUAUGCUGGAGAAAUCCAGAAAAGUGAGGACUGUCGUUGGAGG